GGCGCGUUCGUAUAUCGGCUAGUACUCAAGAUUUUCAUUCUUGCAAGAUGAGUUCGACUCUCAUACGCGCUA
rnacentral:tRNA from 1 species